CUGGAGGCCAGCCCUGGCAGAGCUUUGGAGCACUGGCCCCCAGUACUUGAGCCUCCUGCCACAGCAGAGGCGGGGAGCGCCUGGCUAACCUCAGGCUGCCCCCACCCCAGCAGAGCUCCCCCCUCCCCGAGCUCUCGCCUCCUGGGCACGCUGAAGGCGGCUCCUCUGGCCUCAUCCAGAUCUCCCCUAAAAAAGUGUGUUGAACUAAUCCAACUUUCUAGAACCCCUAGGAGGGAGCUUAGGGAACACCUCUCUUAGCAGUGUACCCCUCAAUUAAGGGUCCAGCCUUAAAUGAUAGCUAGCGGGGAGGGGAGGGGUAGCUAGUUAAAAGACAAUUUGAG
rnacentral:lncRNA from 1 species